UACGAAGGGGGCUAGCGUUGCUCGGAAUCACUGGGCGUAAAGCGCACGUAGGCGGCUUACUAAGUCAGGGGUGAAAUCCUGGAGCUCAACUCCAGAACUGCCUUUGAUACUGGUGAGCUUGAGUCCGGAAGAGGUGAGUGGAACUGCGAGUGUAGAGGUGAAAUUCGUAGAUAUUCGCAAGAACACCAGUGGCGAAGGCGGCUCACUGGCCCGGUACUGACGCUGAGGCGCGAAAGCGUGGGGAGCAAACAGG
rnacentral:rRNA from 1 species